AGGACCGUGCCUGAAACAAAGGGCCAUUUUGAUGUAGUGGUUCAUGAAAGUUAAAGUCUUUCCGAUCCU
rnacentral:tRNA from 1 species